AGUUAGGAUUCAACACGUGAAUUUUGAAGAGACUUAAACAUCACCAUCCAAAGCAGCUGAGAAGGGAGACACAUCCUUGACCUGACCUUAGCCAGGCCGUGGGAGCCAGAGACCAACCAUUAGAGCUGGGUUUUCCGGAGCCAGAGAACUAGAGAAACUCUCCCAAGGGCACAAAGAACAGGGAGCUCUGGCCAGGCUGAGUGCGUGGAGGGGAGAGAAGAGGCUGGCUGGAGAACAUGCUCUUCACAGACUAGGGAGAGAGAAAUCCAGCAUGUCUGCUGAGGUUUGACUUCUGGGCAGAGGACUGUGAAGAGUAAAAGCUACCAUCCCUUAUCAAGACACUUUCUCAUUGCCAAACACUCAACUGAGUAUCUCCCUGUAUUAUCUCAUCCAAUUAUCCCAAGAGCUCUGGCCACUGGAGACUGUCAUUCCAAUCUUACAGACAAGGAGACGGUCAUUCCAGAUCCCUGGAAAUUGUUCGAAAGGCGUGCAGCAAAGGGAGAAGCACUCAUUCAAGACAAUCCCCCACAUCUCCGUAAGAAUGGUCUGUGGCAUGGAAACCAUGACCUACUCCAUCACCUACCAAAGUCCACAUGACUGAGAUGUACCCCAGAGAGAAGCACUGCGUCCAGAGUUUCAGAGCUGCAGCUUGACCUGAGGUGUCUUGGAUGCCAGCUGGAGCAUGUCCUCCCACCAUUAAGAGCUCAGUGACUGUCCUGUGUCUAGACCCGACUUCGAGACUUACCAACUCUGGGACUUUUGGUGAAUUGCUGUGGAAAUCAGCUCCCCCCGGGGCACUCAAGGACAAUGUAGGCAAGGCACUUAGCCCAACACCUACUUAGCACUCAACACAUGGAAGCUAUCUUUGUCAUCAUGGUUAAUACCCCUCUUGGUGUCUUCCAGCUUCUGGGCACUUAUCAGGUCCUUAAAUCCAGUGGAGGGAGUUAGAAAAUUAAGAUAACCAAGUGGUUCAGUGACAACAUUAUGUAAAACUGUCUCCCUGUGGAUCUUUCCAAGCUAAAUAGAGUGCGGCAUUUGAAUUU